UACGUAGGGUGCGAGCGUUGUCCGGAAUUAUUGGGCGUAAAGAGCUCGUAGGUGGCCUGUCGCGUCGGCUGUGAAAACUCGGGGCUCAACUCCGAGCUUGCAGUCGAUACGGGCAGGCUAGAGUCGGCAGGGGAGACUGGAAUUCCUGGUGUAGCGGUGAAAUGCGCAGAUAUCAGGAGGAACACCGGUGGCGAAGGCGGGUCUCUGGGCCGAUACUGACACUGAGGAGCGAAAGCGUGGGGAGCGAACAGG
rnacentral:rRNA from 1 species